UCAACGACUCAGAUGGAUUGUUCUGCCGGCAGACGCCGUGGUCUAAUCGUCCUAGCGCUCGGCGUGACUGCGUCCCCGAUCCCUGCGGCCAUCCGCGUUUGGCCAUCACGCACUCCUCCGCGCCGUGUGUCCCCAGCGACCCUCGGUCCGAUUGCCCUCCGCGUCCGGCUACCAUGCACUUCUCUACGCGGGGCGCCGCGAGCGACUCUCCGUCCGACUGCCGCCCCGCGGCCCUCCACGUCCGACCGCCAUGUGCUCCUCCGCGUCGGGCGCCGCGAGCGACUCUCCGCCCCGCAGCCCUCCACGGCCGCCACGCGCUCCUCCGUGCUGGGCGCCGCGAGCGACCCCUCCACUCCACGCCUUCCCACACAAGCCGCCGCCGGCCCUUCAUGCCGCGACAGGCAACGCGCUCAUGCCGCUAUACAGGACUGCGGCUAUUUAUGUUCAGAUCACAUGUUUUUUCUUUGAUCCGCUUCAUUCGGUUGUACAGGUUGAUGUGGUGACGGGUGAGAUGUAUGUCCAUGCGCUAUUCCACAGCCGCGUACUGAUAACCCAGGCCUUUAGAGAUUAACUGAGUGCCAUAUGUAUCGGCAACAACACAACAACCGUGCAGGUAUGUUCCUUUGUAAAAUCUCAGGAAUAUCUAAGCAGUGUGCAUGGAUUGGCUGAGCCAUCCUAAUAAUUUUCUUACCACAAAAUUGCAAGGUGCAUUCUCUAUACAUAAUUUUCACUUCGUUCUAUUUUUUGUGUAUCUCUUUUGUAGAAUCAUUGUAGUCAGAGAAGUCGAUGAGCAUAUUGCUUUCUCUGUUUUCAGAUAGUUUCCGAGCCCUCCUUCUGCAAGAUAAACUGAUAAAUAAAUCAUGUGCUGGCAGUGGUAUGAUAUUCAGGUUCGUACAUGUAUAUUUUCUAGGUUACUCUUAGCUUUCACACACCUAUAAAUUAUCUUGAUUUGUGUAUGCUUUGAUUACACAAUAGUGUAGUUAACAGAACUGAGUCAUAUUGAGCGGUUAGUUGAGUACCUAUAUCUAUAUGUGUGACAGCUCACAGCCAGGCAAGUUAUGUUCUGUCGUCGAAUAGAUAUUCAUAUGACUGAUUUGUGAACUUUAGCAUUUUGCAUUUAAUUGUGUCAUUUUUAAUGGUUAGUUAGGCUGAAUUGGCGAAUGAGUUGAUGACUGGGUUCAUGUGAUAAAUAAGCAUUUUUAAAGCUUGUGCUAUCACUUAUUUGAAUUCAUGAUUGCAGGAGUGUCUCAUGGCUUAAUAGUCGUUCAGGCACGUGCAAUUUUUAAGAGUGAAGUCAGUAGAAUAACUUCUUCUGGGUUGAGGUUUCAACAGAUUGAUUCAUUGGAGGGAUGCUGGUACAGUGGCCAUAUCUAUGGUAAGACGUAUGGGGUAAAAUUAGAAGUAGAUACCUUUUUGGUCUGCUGAAAUUUUACCCGUCUAAAGAAACUUGGUACGACAUACUAAGAUGAAAUAUUGUAUUCUUCAAUUUGAGACAUUUAAUAGUGAACUGAGAGGCUCUAGCAUGGACUACAAACUAAUCUCAGCUAUAUUUGGAUGCAGUGCAAGGAAUUCUUCUUCUUGCAGUUGCAGGACCAUGAGAUGUCGACGCUACACUGUGGACACACCAAUGUCCCAGCCAAGUCAGUGAUGCAGCCCCAACUCCUGAUUUCUUCAAGUUGAGGAAGCUGCGGCAGCCUGACUCCAUUCUGCCUAUUGCCGCCCUAUCCAAGCUGCUGCUAGGAAACUACUACUCCCGUUGGAUAGAUGAACCCUCUGACUAUCUACUUUAUGUUAUUCCCUUUGUGUUAUCCAAUUGCUCUUGAUAAUUUAAUGAUUCAAUCAAAUUUCACUGCAAAUCAUACUGGAUCAGGCUUUUCUUCUUUCCAAUUUCACCGGCAGACGCGCAGCAGCGCCGGCGAGCGCCUCGGGUGGCGGCGGGGAGGGGAGGGGUGGAGUAAGGGGUUGCGCCGGACAAGGGUUUGGUCGCUCUCGUGUUGCCCGUGAGGGGCGACGCGAGAGCUGAGUUGUGGAAGCCGAUGUGAGGGGAUUUGCAAUUCUUUCAACGCAGUGUUAGUUUGCGUUAAGUUGGAAAAUCCAAAUCCAUACAUUUACAAUUCUUCUUGUUAUAAUUAUAUUAUAUAUUUUCAUUAACUAAUGUUUACAGAAUACCAUCUGAGUAACCGCCUGAUAUAGCAGUUAGUUUUAACAUUAGAUGCAACAACUUUGACAUUUAUGAUUUGAUCAUGUUUUUAUUAGGACAAUAAACUUGUCUAGAAUUCAUUAUGAAUUGAAGGCUCUGGAAAUAGAUGCACCUGCUCCCUAAAUUAUUCUCAGUGUGAUUUCUGAAUCAUACAUGCUGACAUGCAUUGGCAAUCAUUAUUCAACGGAUUGCCUUUUCACUGAAAUAAGAACCGCAUGAUGCUUACAAUUUAAUCUGGUCAUCUAGAUAACUGAAUGGGUUAAUUUUAUGCUUAGUAUCUUCUGGCACAUGUAAAGUGGGGAAGAAAACCAAUCUCUUUUGAUAUGGACUUCUGGAGGCAACAUUCCUUGAUUGUAUGCACUUAACAUUUUCUUUUGGCUUCCUGCUAUCGCGUUUUAAGUUGUCUGCUAAUACUUUUAAGUCUCUCUUGUGCUCAAUUUCAGAUGCUAUCUUGUGUACGAUUGAGCAGUCUCGACUAUACUUCGACCCAGACAUCAACGAAGCAAAUAACUUGAUUGUAAAGUAAAUUCAUGAUUAUCAAUGCCUAGCUUUUGAUCUUGACUAAUACGAAGGGUGCAAUGUGUAGGUUCAGAGAGCUCCGACGCUUUAUCCGACCAAAGACUUUCAAGCUAUAUUUUCUUUCAAGAUUUUGAGCAUCCCUGCACACGGAACAAUAUUGGAGAGAUAGAGUGCCACUGUUACAUUUCUCAAUAUCCAAGCUUUUAUUUCAUUGUUCUGAUAAUUGUUAUAUUUUGUUGGUGCACCAUUAUAGUUUGUUUAUUUUA